rnacentral:miRNA from 1 species
GAGACACAUUGCAGCCAAUCAGCAGCAUACCCUCCCUCCCAGACCCUCCCACCUCCUGGACAGCAUCCAUUGUGAAGCUGCAUUCUUAGUGAGCUGUCCAGGAGGUGGGAGGGUCUGGGAGGGAGGGUCUGCUGCUGAUUGGCUGGAAUGUGUCU